rnacentral:ribozyme from 1 species
UGCCCAGCAAUUCCUAUCCCUACCUCCACGCGGUACCGGCCGGAAACCUUAGGGAAGAUCGGGUAACCAACCCCGGUGGGAACUUUGGUCGUAGGCUGACAGGGAAGG